rnacentral:rRNA from 1 species
UACGGGGGGGGUAAGCGUUGUUCGGAAUUACUGGGCGUAAAGGGCUCGUAGGCGGCCAACUAAGUCAGACGUGAAAUCCCUCAGCUUAACUGGGGAACUGCGUCUGAUACUGGAUGGCUUGGAUUUGGGAGAGGAAUGCGGAAUUCCAGGUGUAGCGGUGAAAUGCGUAGAUAUCUGGAGGAACACCGGUGGCGAAGGCGGCAUUCUGGACCAAUAUUGACGCUGAGGAGCGAAAGCCAGGGGAGCGAACGGG